CUUAUGUAUGUAACUUUCUAAAAGUUACUAAGCCUCAUUUCAGAAUGCAUACAUUAAAGAUAUAGUGACAGCAAUGUCAAGAAAAGUAUUUGACAGAAUGAGCACGUGUAUGUGAGACUUGAGUGCGAUUAUGUAGCCAUAAAUAUCUUGAGUGUGCCAAGAGUAAUCGGGAAGGAGGAGCCAAAGCUGUGCAGGUUUGGGAGAAGCAUCUGGACAGUAAGCAAGUUGUCACAGUUCUUCAUACUGUGCAGACAGUAGUGGGGCUACCAUCACCACAGUUGUUCAUAAUUUGUAGAACGUGUAACGUGACUAAGUCAUUUCACAACUAACACGGUUAAUCUGUAAAUGUUCUUAUUCCUAAUAAGGCUUAAAAUAAACUUGUGGGAGGCACACAUUAAGAUUUUGUCAUUAUUUACUGUAACUUUAAGAUUAUAUUGUUUUUUAUAUGUUUGUUCUUCAUUUCCCAUGCAUAUAAAUUUUAUCAAAGUCAGGGGUUUUUUUUGUUUGUUUGUUUUUGUUUUAUCAGAGCACUGCUCAACUCUGUCUUAUGGUGAUGAUGAAGAUUGAACUGUGGACUUUCAUUCUUUUGUGCUUAAGAGUUUUUUUUUAGCAUGAGUCAUUUCCUAUUUCUCAGGCCCCCAAACAAAUUCUGUAUACUCAGCAAGGAGAAGUGGAUGUAGAUGAAGUCACUGAUUUCAGUUCCUUCUAGAGUCUAGGGGCAUAAGCAGAUUGGGAACACACACUGGCCGAGUACCCUGUGCGACAAGCUGUGGUGAAGCAUGUGCAGUGGAGUCCACUAGCUAUAGGUCCUAUAAGCAGAUUGUGGGGAACAAAUUGGGCCAGAGGGUGGGCCAAGCCCAGCCCUAUGAAAGUGCCUAACAGUUUAUUGGGAUAAAUAGCUUACAAGGCAUUUGUUGUCACAUGUAGAAAGGGUUCUUCCCUCUCCCUUGAUAGGUGUCUGCACCCCUCACCCAUCAGCAAGUAGAGUUUUCUCAACCAUAGUGCAAUUGGUCAAUUCUAACACAUUCUCGAACACUAUUCAGGACAUCCCACAUAAGAAUGUCGGUAAUUCAGCUGGAAGUACAUCUCACAGCAGAAAUUGUGCUUUAAAAAGACAUGGAGAUGGUUUUCAUAAAAAAUGUCCUGAUUUGAAGGGCAUCAAUAACGUCAGAAAGUCUGCUUCUAACAAAGCAGUAGCAAUGAAAAAAAUACAAAAACUACAAUCAGAUCUAAAGUCUUCAUUGGCAUUCGAAGAGACUGGAACAAAUGGCCUUGGGGAUUCUAAGGAGGGUAGACAGGGGGAGAGAAAGAUAGACACCAGAAGACCUGUUUUGGAUGAUGCCCAGUUCCUACAGAGGCCUGUGGUUGUGGAUAAACCCACCAUAACCCCACCAGUAAAAGUUCCAGUCCACCUAUUUAAUGUUAUUCCAUCCAAUAAAUCUAAUAAGUCCAUUUCAGAAAAUGCAGUAUUUGCAAAGG